rnacentral:rRNA from 1 species
GAUUUCGGAAGGUCUUUAGUGGUCCGCCCCUUCGGGGAGCGGGUCACUGGCCUCCUAUGUUCCUAACGGUCCUCAUCCGCGAGGGUGGGGAAUCAACCGCUAGGAUCGUUUACUUUGAGGAAAUUAGAGUGUUCAAAGCAGGCGUAACUCGCCUCCGAAUACGUUAGCAUGGGAUAAUGGAAUACGACUUCGGUCUUGUUUCGUUGGUUUCGCUUGGCUGAAGUAAUGAUUGAUAGGGACAGUUGGGGGCAUUAGUAUUUAGUUGUCAGAGGUGAAAUUCUAGGAUUUACUAAAGACUGACCAAUGCGAAAGCAUUUGCCAAGGAUGUUUUCAUUAAUCAAGAACGAAAGUAGGGGGAUCGAAGACGAUCAGAUACCGUCGUAGUCUCUACCGUAAACUAUGCCGACCAGGGAUCCGGAGAGUUUGCAUGGAUGACUCCCCGGGCACCUUGUGAGAAAUCAUAAGUGUUUGGGUUUUGGGGGGAGUAUGGUCGCAAGGCUGAAACUUAAAGGAAUUGACGGAAGGGCACCACCAGGAGU